UCCGGUUGAUCCUGCCGGCGGCUACUGCUAUCAGGUUUCNACUAAGCCAUGNGAGUCAAGGGGUCGUAAGACACCGGCGUACUGCUCAGUAACACGCGGACAAUCUACCCCCAGGUGGGGGAUAACCUCGGGAAACUGAGGCUAAUACCCCAUAGUUGUCAUGUGCUGGAAUGCUUUGACGAUGAAAGAAUUUCGCCUGAGGAUGAGUCUGCGGCCUAUCAGGUAGUAUGUGGUGUAAAGGACCACAUAGCCUAAGACGGGUACGGGCCUUGAAAGAGGGAGCCCGGAGAUGGACUCUGAGACACUAGUCCAGGCCCUACGGGGCGCAGCAGGCGCGAAAACUGUGCAAUGCGCGCAAGCGCGACACGGGAAGCCUGAGCGCCUUAACUAUGUUUAAGGNUUUUCUUGAUCCUAAAAAGCUCAAGGAAUAANAGNUGGGUAAGACGGGUGNCAGCCGCCGCGGUAACACCCGCCGGCUCGAGUGGUAGNCACUUUUAUUGAGNCUAAAGCGUUUGUAGCCGGAUUUGNAAANUCUCUAGGAAAAUACUUCUGCUUAACUGNAGAAAUUUUGGAGAGACUGCAAAUCUAGGGACCGGGUGAGGUUGAAUGUACUUCUGGGGUAGGGGUAAAAUCCUGUAAUCCUGGAAGGACGACCGGUGGCGAAGGCGUUCAACUAGAACGGAUCCGACGGUGAGGAACGAAGGCUAGGGGAGCAAACCGGAUUAGAUACCCGGGUAGUCCUAGCUGUAAACACUGCCCACUUGGUGUUGCAUCUCCGGUAAGGGGGUGCAGUGCCGUAGCGAAGGUGUUAAGUGGGCCGCUUGGGGAGUAUGGUCGCAAGGCUGAAACUUAAAGGAAUUGGCGGGGGAGCACCGCAACGGGAGGAGCGUGCGGUUUAAUUGGAUUCAACGCCGGAAAACUCACCGGAGGCGACCUGUGUAUGAGAGUCAACCUGAUGAAUUUACUCGAUAGCAGGAGAGGUGGUGCAUGGCCGUCGUCAGCUCGUACCGUAGGGCGUUCACUUAAGUGUGAUAACGAGCGAGACCCCCAUCUUCAAUUGCUAAGCUAACCGUGAGGUUGGUAGAACUUUGAAGGGACCGCCAGUGCAGAACUGGAGGAAGGAGGGGUCGACGGCAGGUCAGUA
rnacentral:rRNA from 1 species